GGGACAACUCGGAGAGGCGGCCGAGCCCCGCACGCUCCCAGCCACGCCGUUUGCAAAACAAGGGCUGAAAACCCCUAUAGGAUUAUACAAGGGGGAAGGAUCCGGAGAGGGAAGAGCGGAGGAGCUGUCAGGAAUGGGGCAGAGCGGCGGUUUUGGGGGGAGAAAAAGGACCGUGAGUCCAUCGGGCGGGAGGAGGGAGGAGGGAAGCGGAGCGGGGAGAGCAGCGAAGCCACCGCCAUCACCGCAAUCACAUCAGGCAGCAGCAAUGGAGCGGCGCGGAGUGCCACCGCUGUCACCCGCUGCCCCCCGUGACGUCUCCCAGCGCCCGGGCAGCAAAGCUGGGCUGUGGCACCUGGCUGCAGAGCCCCGACGCAGCUCGUCACACGAGGGAUGCUGAGCCCCACCGCAGAACUGCAGCGCAGCACAUGGGUGGGUGCUGCAGCUCAGAGCCCCAACACAGCUCGUGGUGUGAAGGACGCAGAGCCCUUCUGCAGAGCCCCGGCACAGCUCAUGACGUGAGUGACGCUGAGCCCCACCGCAGAGCCCCGGCGCAGCUCGUGACAUGAGGGAUGCAGAGCCCUGCAGCAGAGCCCCGACCCACCUCAUGACACGAGCGAUGCGACACCGAGCCCCGACGCAGCUCAUCACACGAGGGACACCACUCUCCCCCCACCUCCCCCCGCACGGCUUUGGGGUUUGGGCCCCCCCGGCCCCCCCUCUCCCCGCACCGCCCCAAUCGUCUGCAGCGCCGUAAUGAGGAGAUAAACAGGAAGGAGCGGGGAGCCCCGAUGGGACACAUGAAAGCAGAGCAGGGCGAUGCGUGGGGGCUUUUCUUCCCACUUCUUUCUGCUGAAUCCCACAUUUUUCCUCCUCCCCCCUCCCCUCUCCCGCUCCAUUAAUGAGGUUUUGCUGCAGAA